GCGCCCGUGGCUCAAUUGGAUAGAGCAUCUGUCUACGGAACAGAAGGUUCGUGGUUCGAUCCCACGCGGGCGCG
rnacentral:tRNA from 2 species